rnacentral:rRNA from 1 species
UCGGCCGGCCGGACCGGCGACGGGUGCGUAACGCGUAUGUAACCUACCUUUGACAGGGGGAUAACAUCGAGAAAUUGGUACUAAUACCCCAUAACAUCACCGGAGGCAUCUUCGGUGGUUGAAAACUCAGGUGGUCAGAGAUGGACAUGCGUUGUAUUAGCUAGUUGGUGAGGUAACGGCUCACCAAGGCGACGAUACAUAGGGGGACUGAGAGGUCAACCCCCCACAUUGGUACUGAGACACGGACCAAACUCCUACGGAAGGCAGCAG